CAGUCGCCACGGGAAUACGAAGGGGGCUAGCGUUGUUCGGAUUUACUGGGCGUAAAGGGUGCGUAGGCGGAUUGUUAAGUCAGGGGUGAAAUCCCGAGGCUCAACCUCGGAACUGCCUUUGAUACUGGCGAUCUUGAGUCCGGGAGAGGUGAGUGGAACUGCGAGUGUAGAGGUGAAAUUCGUAGAUAUUCGCAAGAACACCGGUGGCGAAGGCGGCUCACUGGCCCGGAACUGACGCUGGGGCACGAAAGCGUGGGGAGCAAACAGGAUUAGAUACCCCUGUAGUCCCUGUCUCUUAUAC
rnacentral:rRNA from 1 species